rnacentral:rRNA from 1 species
GACGAGAGGCGGACGGGUGAGGAAUAUUUGGGAAUCUGCCCAUCAGCGGGGGACAACCCGGGGAAACCCGGGCUAAUACCGCAUACGCUCUACGGAGGAAAGCCGGGGACCGCAAGGCCUGGCACUGAUGGAUGAGCCCAAAUCGGAUUAGCUAGUUGGCGGGGUAACGGCCCACCAAGGCGACGAUCCGUAGCUGGUCUGAGAGGACGAUCAGCCACACCGGAACUGAGACACGGUCCGGACUCCUACGGGAGGCAGCAGUGGGGAAUAUUGGACAAUGGGGGAAACCCUGAUCCAGCGACGCCGCGUGGGUGAAGAAGGCCUGCGGGUUGUAAAGCCCUUUCGGUAGGGACGAAAGCUCUUGCUCUAACAAAGCAGGAGGUUGACUUAACCUACAUAAGAAGCACCGGCUAACUCUGUGCCAGCAGCCGCGGUAUACAGAGGUGCGGCGUUAUCGGAAUUACUGGGCGUAA